rnacentral:rRNA from 1 species
UACGUAGGGGGGCAAGCGUUGUCCGGAAUCAUUGGGCGUAAAGAGCGCGUAGGCGGCCCUGUAAGUCCGCUGUGAAAGUCGGGGGGCUCAACCCUUGGAUGCCGGUGGAUACUGCAGGGCUAGAGUCCGGAAGAGGCGAGUGGAAUUCCUGGUGUAGCGGUGAAAUGCGCAGAUAUCAGGAGGAACACCAAUUGCGAAGGCAGCUCGCUGGGACGUUACUGACGCUGAGACGCGAAAGCGUGGGGAGCAAACAGG